CACUUCCAACCAAGGUCGUCAUACAUGUUUAGCCACCUCUCUUCCUCCCAGGACCAUGGCCAAAUGAAAGUGUCUGUGUAGACCCCACCUGUCUCCCCACCACAUGAGAAACCCGGCCUCCCCCAGGCUUGCAGGUAGAGGGGAGGUGGCGGAGACAGGUAAGCCAUAAGCUGCAGCGACUCCCCUCCUCCCACACUCAUGCCUCCAGCCCAGGUGUCCCCGCCGCUCAGUUCAGCCAGGACCCCACAUCCCGCUGCUCCCUCCCCCUGCCUCCCGCGACGGGACCGGGAUGCCGAGGCCUGUCCUGCUGCGAGGCUGGCCCAGGUGCGCCCUCCCGGUCCCCUCGCACAUGCAGCUGCGGGAGCCUCCCCAGCACCUGAGUCCCAGCUCCGGGCAGGUGAGGAGGGCCUCUGGCCGACCGGCCCCCUAACCUCGGGCCCCAGCAGUGUCCCCCCGCCCCCCAGUGCUCCUGAGCCCAACCGCCCAAAUUGAAUUUUUCUCAAUGAAGAAAAGUUUUCCGUGCCCCGUUUUGCCUUAAAAUAGGAAAUGAUAUAUUCCUAGUAAACGCGUCUGCGUUGCGCAGCUGCUGCCCCGGCCAAGCCCGCCUCCGCUCCGCGCUCAGUCCCUGCCCCGGGCUGUCGCGCAGCCCCGACCCGCCCCGACCCGCCGCGGCCUCGGUGCUCCCGGCCCCCCGCCCCCGCAGGUGCCCUCCCCCGGCCCCGCACCCGGCGCUCCAGGGCAGGGGGGCGCCCCCUCCGAGCAGUCCCCCCCCGGGGCCCGCCCUCUUCCGGGGACUCCGCCGCGCCCCUCCCAGGCCGGGCACCUGCGCCAGCGCCGGGCCUCGGGACCCCUUCCGCCGGCGUCGGGCAGCCGCGCAGGUGCGGUCCUGGCAGGUGCGGCCCCGCAGGUGCGGUCCUGGCAUCGCGGCAGCCCCGCCAGGUGCGGCCUCGCAAGUACAGCCCCGACUUUCAGGGAUCCUUUUUUAAAAAUCAAGUUAGUUAUUUUAAUUCCAGCAAAGGCAGCACACACUGUUGUGUUGGUUUCAGGUGUGCAGUGUGGCGAUGCGAUGCGAUGCGUGCGGGCGUUACUCUGCGCUCAUCGCGGUAAGUACCUAUUACACCUAUUAUCUAUUUCAUCCAUCCCCCUACGCACCUGUCCUAAGGAUCCUUCUUUUUAUAUGUAUACCUCACUCUGUUUGACUUGCCGUAUUUUUAAAAUAGUAGCUUGAUACAAAUUUAAUGAAUCUAAGAUAUAAUUUUCUCUAUGAUAUUAUACAUAUUGGUUUUAGCUCAUCAUAGUGAUCUUUAUCUUUACUCAUAUUAAUAUAUACACCAAAAAGACAACUUCUGGUCUUUUUAAAAAAAAUCUGGGCUUUUUGUGCUGGCCCUAGUAUAGACUAAGUAGGCAAACACCUCGUUGGCAUAAUUUUAAUACCAAAAUAUGCUACAAUAUAGCAAGGCCUUAGAUAUCCCAACCUAAUAAGCCUGCCAUAGUGGCUCCAUCCCCUCCUACGUGGUCCCUGAGUACGACACUCCUCUGGGUAGGAUAACAGAAGUGACAUAUAUAACCAACCAUACAAGUGAUUUUGGAGUCUGUUCCUUCGGUUCAAAUUGGAGCUGCGUCACUGAAUCCCACAAAUCACUCACCUUUCUGAGCCCAGUGUCCUCCUCUCUAAAAUCUGAUGAUUUAGAUGAUUUAGAUCUGAUGAUUUGCAGUUUUUAUGAGCCCCAAUAAUAAAUACCUCUAAGGCAAAAAUCUUGCA
rnacentral:lncRNA from 12 species